UGGAAGCCCGCGCAAUUCUUUCCUCGUAGACGCAUGAGACGCUCCGUGAAGUUUUAAGUGUUUGGAAGUGCAUCUAGUGUUUGGUCUUUGGCCGACUGUACCCCCGCAAAGCAAAGGUGAUAUACGGGUGCACUUUGUUGCUGCAGAAAUUUUCUUCUCGCCGAGCUCUUUUCGACCAUCUGCUAUCACAUGAAGAUUUUGCAAGUGGUGUUCCUUGUACCAUAGAGGGGCGUAAUGCUGCUUCCAAGAACUAUAGAACCAAUUCCUCCAUGCCAAACACGCCAACACAUUCAACACAAAAAGUAUUGUCUUGAAAGUUUUGUUCUGUGGCUUCUUGCAGCCAGCCGUGUGGACAGUGAAGAAGCAGAUAUUGCACGCUGAAAACAUCACCUCAUCACAGAUGCAUCGUGCACUAAUAUCGCUGCUCAGCCAUGAUUAUGGAGAAAGUUCCAUAUGAGAGGUACAUAUCUGUGAUGCGGCAGACUGUGAGUCAACCUACGUGACCCCUGGUCAAUUCACAGUGCCUACACUGGACGUAGCCGCCAGAGCCCUCAGGGUAGUUCGGACAGAAGCCAGCACGAGACAGAGUCAUACAAGGUUGUAAUAAGAAACUUUACUGUGAGCAUGGCCGUUUCUGAAGAUCAGGAGUAGAGAUCAUAAAACGAAAAACUUUGUGUCAGUAACAUGUCUUGAGGAGCUAAUCAGAGUUGCUGUGGGUCAUGGAAUUUGUCAGGAGGGCAACAUACAGGUGUAUUUAAUGGAUGAGUUAUCACUUCGCUCUAUGGUUGCUGGUGCUGAGAAAUGCCUCGAUGACAUUUUCAUUGUUAAAAAUUGACUAUGGAAACAAGAUCAGUCAACAUGUGUGAGUGCACCUUCACCACUCCCACAAAUGCCUCUGCUCUCACGAAUUUAUUACCCUUGGGAGAGCCUCAGCAAGACAGUACUUGAUGCAUUGGAAGCAGACAAUGUUCUGCUUCCCUCUCAACGACAGGAAGUGGCACACAUGGCAGCGUCAUGGCCCUGCAUAUCCAUUGAAGGUGGGAGGCACUCCUGAUAUUUAUUCACAGGUAUAUUUGCUGUUUGCAUGGCUUACCUGGAUAGAGUACAGCAGAUAUAAAAAAAAUGUUGUGACAUGCAUUGAAAUAUUGUAGGAGAGCAUAUCACAUACUGGUAAAAUAUUGCAUUUUGAAACUCACGUGAUGUAGUAGAGUAACAAAAAACUGGUUUGUAAGUUUAGAUGGUGCUGUAGCUUAGAUUAUCUGCGGGCCUGUCUUGCAAGAACCCUCAUAUUUACUCGGCUGGUACGAUACAUACUGCAGUAAAUACAGCAGGCGAUGUAACACAUACAGAGGCCAUAUCAACUGCUAACCUUUCACAGACAUUCAUAUGCUUCACAUAUGGUGGUGUCUCUGCCAUGCUGAACUAUGCUCAUAAGCAUGUUUCACGGAUGAAAAAAAAAUCCUAUCUAUGUGCUCAGAAAUUUGUUGUGCCAUUUGCAGUGGUGGACGUGUAGUGUUCUUCAUAAACUUAUUUGGAAUAGUUGGUAGAGAAAUGGAGUGAUUGUCCUGAUCAUUACACCAUGUGAAACUAAGAAUAUUUCAUGCAAUUAUUUUGAAUACUCAUAAGGAAAUUUUAUUAAUUGGUUGUG